AUUGAACGCUGGCGGCAGGCCUAACACAUGCAAGUCGAGCGAGCGGCGGACGGGUGAGUAAUGUCUGGGAAACUGCCUGAUGGAGAGGGAUAACUACUGGAAACGGUAGCUAAUACCGCAUACCAUCAGAUGUGCCCAGGUGGGAUUAGCUAGUAGGUGGGGUAACGGCUCACCUAGGCGACGAUCCCUAGCUGGUCUGAGAGGAGGACCAGCCACACUGGGACUGAGACACGGCCCAGACUCCUACGGGAGGCAGCAGUGGGGAAUAUUGCACAAUGGGCGAAAGUCUGACGCAGCCACGCCGCGUGUGUGAAGAAGGCUUUCGGGUCGUAAAGCACUUUCAGCGGGGAGGCGGUACCCACAGAAGAAGCACCGGCUAACUCCGUGCCAGCAGCCGCGGUAAUAC
rnacentral:rRNA from 1 species